rnacentral:rRNA from 1 species
AUUGAACGCUGGCGGCAUGCCUUACACAUGCAAGUCGAACGGCAGCACGGGAGCUUGCUCCUGGUGGCGAGUGGCGAACGGGUGAGUAAUGCAUCGGAACGUGCCCUGAAGUGGGGGAUAACGUAGCGAAAGUUACGCUAAUACCGCAUAUUCUGUGAGCAGGAAAGCAGGGGAUCUUCGGACCUUGCGCUUUUGGAGCGGCCGAUGUCGGAUUAGCUAGUUGGUGGGUAAAGGCCCACCAAGGCGACGAUCCGUAGCGGGUCUGAGAGGAUGAUCCGCCACACUGGAACUGAGACACGGUCCAGACUCCUACGGGAGGCAGCAGUGGGGAAUUUUGGACAAUGGGCGCAAGCCUGAUCCAGCCAUGCCGCGUGAGUGAAGAAGGCCUCGGGUUGUAAGACUCUUCGUGGGAGAA